rnacentral:lncRNA from 1 species
CACAUGCAUUACGCCUAUUUCAACGAUUUGGAACAAUCAUCUAUGUCCUUCCAUUAUGGGAGUGGCCACUCAAGCGUUCCUGUCGUUACUGUCGAUAUUCACGUAGUCCAAGUCGGCGAGAACGCUGGACCACAGGCCGCCGCCAUGCAAUGUUGCAAAGGAUCGGUAGUUACUACACUGUUAUCAGGAGAUCACGGUUCGAUGACGCUUUGUUUCCACAUUGCCGAUUGCUGAUAACUGUCCGCAGUGACGUUCUACUAUUCGAACAACGCAUUUUUUCCCCACCCGAAGCGAUACCGUAAUUUUACGGCUCUUGUGUGGCUGACGUGCAGUCGUAAUGCCGAGACCACGAUGUUCGAGGCCUUCGCAGGAUGGCGGCAUGCCACCGUAGUUGCCGAAGUUCGGGCUUCCUGCCAACUAGAAUGCUUCGCUCUCUUUUGCAGAAUACAGCCGUGUCAACUGGCAGUAAAACUUAUCACAAGCUCUCGAAUAAAAAAUGGCAGCUGCGCUUACAGUUUCAAAAUGACAGAGGAUUGGAACAGGGCGCCAUUUUGAAAGAGCUAUACGGCGAUGCCUUUUGUUCUUUUGCAGCGAGGUGUGGAAACGCACUGAGAACAAAAAUGACACUGAAAACUUGGUUUUUGAACCAAAAUGCUGCCGAAUUGUAAUUGCUGAUGCCUGCUUCAGUGUGCUUAAUUUUUUAGCAUUUUUAAGGACGAAUCAAUAUAAACCAACUACUGCUAUGACAACCAUUUUUCGGGGAAUUAUCGAGUUCAUUAUAAACGGGUUAGACUGUAGUAGUAAUAAAUGAAGUCUACCUGGACCGUGCCGCUAUUUCAAAUAUUAACAAGCACUGGACACACAGAACCUGCAGAACAAACCACAAACACAGCCUUUACAACUUAGCAGCUUCAUUCUUCUUGCAUUUUGGGUGCAUCGGUAAGUACUGGCUUGACUAACCUUCUCUAGUUACGGAUUCCAGGAGGCGCCAGCAACGUGGCCAAUGACUAUGCAGGUGAUGUAUCAAAACCAAAACAUAACUAUUUCUGCUCGACUCUGUGGCCAAAUCACAUAUGGUCGUGCAGGCAGAGUUCAAAUUAUUAAACAGUGUGCUGUAAGGUGUCCAAAAUUCAGAUCGUCCUUGUACACUACAGCUUUGGGACAAGUGACAGUGCCGCAAAGCUGUCCAAAUAAUUGCUUAUGUCCAAACUAUCAGUGAGCAACUGCAUACCACAAACAUGCACCCACUACUAUGAACACACCACAAAAUUAACAUAUCAGGGUGUCUACUAUGUUGGCAUUUUCAAGCUCCCUGAUUGUUCCAAGCUUUCCUUCACUGUUUAUGAAAAUUCCCUGGCAGUCUAUGACACUAGCGCUUUAGGUGCAAGAAAAGAAAAAUGGUGGUGCCAGCUGCAAAUUUUGAACUACUACCAGAAGGCUGUAAGUCAGUUCAAAUGCACUAUCAGAUUUGACUGUAAUG